rnacentral:rRNA from 1 species
GACGAACGCUGGCGGCUUGCUUAACACAUGCGAGUCGAACGCUGAAGCUUGGUGCUUGCACUGGGUGGAUGAGUGGCGAACGGGUGAGUAAUACGUGAGUAACCUGCCCUUGACUCUGGGAUAAGCCUGGGAAACUGGGUCUAAUACUGGAUACGACAUGCCACUGCAUGGUGGUGUGUGGAAAGGGUUUUACUGGUUUUGGAUGGGCUCACGGCCUAUAAGCUUGUUGGUGGGGUAAUGGCCUACCAAGGCGACGACGGGUAGCCGGCCUGAGAGGGUGACCGGCCACACUGGGACUGAGACACGGCCCAGACUCCUACGGGAGGCAGCAGUGGGGAAUAUUGCACAAUGGGCGGAAGCCUGAUGCAGCGACGCCGCGUGAGGGAUGACGGCCUUCGGGUUGUAAACCUCUUUCAGCACGGAAGAAGCGAGAGUGACGGUACGUGCAGAAGAAGCGCCGGCUAAAUACGUG